AAAAUAAUAGAAAUUGAUUUAUAAGCUUAAGAUAAUUUGUUAAGGUGAUCCAUGGACAAGUAGCUAGAACAACCUCUGCUCGCCUUUUUCUGGCAGCGAUGCAUAAAAGUCCAUUUACGCAACUUGAUCACUUUACAUCCAAAGCUUUGACAGCCAUAAGCAAAAAAGUUUCCCCACUUUUAUGAGACAUUCUUGGCAAGUGAUGCAAUGCUGCAACAUCUACAUCCCCCUCAAGUGCAGUUACAUCCUGGAUGUAAAGCAUUCUUCAUUUCUUCCACCUUGAAUGUCUACCAGAUGGCAUCGUUUACUAGCCACACUUUGACAACAGCAAGUGAGCCCUGUUAUAGCUGCAGACACAAAAAGGGGUCGAGGUCAAAUGGGAAAUUCUUUUUCUUAGCUCGGGGGAACAACCCAACAUCAUCUGGUUUACGGCUCCAUUUAGGCGGCCAUCAAAUUAUUUUGGUUGAAAAAAUAUUACUGUUAUUACAUAUGUAUUGAGGAUCAUAAAUUCAUUUAGACGAGGGCAACAUUGCGGUCUAAACAUUCACCAAAUUAUCCGAUUUCUCAGUGUCAAAUGCUUAAAUUUAGUUAGAUCUGCCAGUAACUACCAAUCUACCAUAAAUAUUCGAGUAACUUGGUGAGAAAUGAGGAUGAGAGAUAUAUAACCAUUGAGAGUCUUUUAAAAAGCAAGAUCUCACAAUUUGUUACAACUGAGAACACAAAGAGUUCCAAAUCUAAACAUGAAAAAUAGACGUGAAACCAAACCAUCCUGGACAAUAGAACCGAGCCAAAAUUGAAACAUUAUAAACCGAAAUUAAAACUGAUUGUGCAGGUUCAGUUACAUAUUAAAAAACACCUCAAGUACAAAAUUUUUAGGCUUUAGCAACCACUUAUCACAUUAUAUAUUAUUAUUUUUCAGAUAUAUCACUGUAACAUAAUUAACAUUUCAUUUAUCAUAUUUAUUAUAUAUAAACAAUAAAUUUAGACUAGAAAACGAUAGUUGAAUGAGUCAGACCGCCGGAGUAUAUGAAUUCCAGUCCCCGCAUGGACUCUGGACUAAUUUUUUCUCGAGGUGAGUCAGAGUUGAACUCAUAACCAGGACCACCAGAUGAUAAACUAGACUAACAGAGCUUGAGGACUAAUUUAAUUUGAUAUAAUGGCACAAAUGUUGGAUUCUUUCAGUAAUGGAAGAGCAAGCAUAACCUUUUCCUUUUUCUUUAAAAGAACAAUAAAGGUGAAAGAUUAAAUUAUCAAAGAUAUUGUAAAUUGUAAUGUCGGCACAGUAAGAUAUACUAAUCCCUAAUUUCACAGCUCCUACCAAGGAAAACGCAAAGUGCAGUUACUCUUGAUCAGUUUGAAGUCAAAUUAAUGUGUCGGUGGUUACGACGAAGAUACAAUUAAGUGAACAUUUAGAUCGAACAUCAGUUUCAAAUUGUUGUUAUUAUAAGUGGUCCUAUAUAGUAGAUGGGAAAUCAUCACGGACGUACCUCAAACGGCCACCGCAAGAACCACUAUAUCGUCCCCAACAGUAACUCAGCUGCUCCACCUUAUUACAAUAACCCAUCAGCACCAUCCUCUCAGUCUCAGCCCAGCAGCUCAAGUAGC
rnacentral:lncRNA from 1 species